GCUUCAUGGAGGUAUCAUUCACAUUCAGGUCCUCACUGAGAAACUCCUGUGACCAAUAGAAAUCAGCUAGUCAUGGAGGCAGCCGUCUCAGAAAGAAUUCAGACUGACCAUACACCCUUCUUCCUACGAAGCGUUAACCUUUAUUUAUUUUAGGAUUACUCUAGAGGGAACCAAACACAAUCAAUGACUCUGACCUCAUUUGGUUCCAUUUCUUUCUACUUUCCUUUCUGGAUCACUGACUCAAGAUGAAGCAAAGCAUGCUCCAGUGAGCAUGCUCACAGUUUGCAUCAUAACUGGAAAAACUGCCUUAUUUGUGUUCCCUGAGUGUGCAUGUGGCAGCAUGGACCAACAUCUGAAUGGAUGUGAAAGAAGAAUAGGUAGGGUCCUUUGAAGACUACUUGAUUUCUCCCAUGGCCUUUCCUGACCUGCCCAGUUCACUGUGGCUUAGCUGUCCCCUACCUCUGGUAACUCUGCUACCAUUCUCCUUCUGAACCACACCUCCUGACAGCAUUGAUCUACACACUACUGCUCUCAGGUAUGUCCAUCUUGUCUCCUUAGCUAGUCUAUUAGUUCCUUGACAGCAGUAACUACAUAGGAAAUGGCUUCUCUACUCCUCAUAAUACCCUAGGACAAAGAUCCAUACACAUGUCAUGNUCUGGCUUCUCUACUCCUCAUAAUACCCUAGGACAAAGAUCCAUACACAUGUCAUGUACCUAGUUUGCUGGCCUCAUUAUUAGGAGAAAAAAAAGGAACUUCCUCAGUCUUCUAUUUACAUGAAAGUGAGACUGAUGUAGAUCUGGCUUCUCAGUAUGAAUCUUGCUCAUCUUUGGGCCGCUUCUUAUUAUAAGCAGCCCCUAAUCUUCUUCAAAAGUCAUGGAUGGCCUUACAUUGGGAUUAUGUGGCUGGUUUUAUCCCCUUCUUAACAAACUGAAGUUAGCUAUGAAGGCUAGGAGGAACUUGCAGAAAUCUGGUGUUCAUCCUGUAUGACAGGGAGCUAGCUACAUGCAGAAUAAUUUUCUUUUCUACAAAGCUGUCUACUGUUAGAUGAUUGAACACUACUCAUAAUUUGCUAGAGAAGGGGGAGGACCAAGUCUAUUGUGUAUGUGGUAUCUUUUAAAUGCUGACUCUCUUUUUCUAUUCUCUUGCCAUUUGAGCUCAAUUUUAAAAUGAUUUUCAGACCUAGCAAGAAUAUUGAAAGUAGUUUAUUUUCUGAAACAGCUCAGUUUUCUUAGGCCGUUUGUAGAAAACCUUAAGAUAUGUAAUGCUGCUAUAAUUUGGGAAAUCAUACUAAUUUUACAAGAUGGACAUACCUGAGAACAAUGAUGUGUAGAUCAGUACUGCCAACAGGUAUGGUUCAGAUGGUAAUUCUGAGUCAUAGAAGUUAUCUAAGU
rnacentral:lncRNA from 1 species